UGCAAUGAGAGUUGUGCUAAGGUAGCGCGAUAAUUUGUCUCUUAAUUGGAGAAUGGUAUGAAAGGUUUGUCGCAAAUCAGUUGUCUCUUAAAAAUUAAAUGAAGUUUCCUUUUAAGUGAAAAGGCUUAAAAUUUUGUAAAAGACGAGAAGACCCUGUCGAGCUUGAUUAACUUAAAAAUCUAAAUAAAUAGGUUUUCAGGCGAAUUGUAGUUGGGGAGAGCUGGAUUCAAAAUAAUGAGUCUUUUUGAACGUUGAUCCUCUUUGAGAGAUAGUAGGCAAAAGCUACCGCAGGGAUAACAGCGUAAUUUUUUCUGAGAGAUCUUAUUGAGGGAAAAGUUUGCGACCUCGAUGUUGGAUUAU
rnacentral:rRNA from 1 species